GAUGAACGCUGGCGGCGUGCCUAAUACAUGCAAGUCGAGCGAAUGAUGAGGAGCUUGCUCCUCUGAUUUAGCGGCGGACGGGUGAGUAACACGUGGGUAAUCUGCCUGUAAGACGGGGAUAACUCCGGGAAACCGGGGCUAAUACCGGAUAACAAGAGAAGAAGCAUUUCUUCUUUUUGAAAGUCGGUUUUGGCUGACACUUACAGAUGAGCCCGCGGCGCAUUAGCUAGUUGGUGAGGUAACGGCUCACCAAGGCGACGAUGCGUAGCCGACCUGGGAGGGUGAUCGGCCACACUGGGACUGAGACACGGCCCAGACUCCUACGGGAGGCAGCAGUAGGGAAUCUUCGGCAAUGGGCGAAAGCCUGACCGAGCAACGCCGCGUGAGCGAUGAAGGCCUUCGGGUCGUAAAGCUCUGUUGUUAGAGAAGAACAAGUACGAGAGUAACCGCUCGUACCUUGACGGUACCUAACCAGAAAGCCACGGCUAACUACGUGCCAGCCGCCGCAGUAA
rnacentral:rRNA from 1 species